CUGCUGAAGCUUCUGGGGCUUCACUGUGAGAAGGGGGUUUGUUUUUGUCUUUGGUUAUCUAGCUGUAUGAGUGUUAAAUACCUGUCAUAAAGCUAGAUAACCGAAAGUAGAAAUGACCUCAGUAACAUCAUCCAGUGGAACUGAUCCCUUUGGUUUUAAGAGCUCCAAUGUGCGUUUUAGCUUUCACACCCAUCAGAAAGCUGCUCCUGUUGUAUGGGCUCCUGAUUAACAACACUAAAUGAUUGAGGAUUCCCGCAAAGGGGGUACAAUCAUCAUUAAAAGAAAACGAGAUGGGGUGGGGGGUGGGAGGGAAUUAUCUUGCCCCACAUUCUCCCUUAUUUUUUUUUUCUUUACUCAAGAGCCUCUAAUGCCAUCUGUAAUGCCAAAGGAGGGGAGGAUGAGGGUGGGGGGGUGCUGUGCCCAUGCCAGGAAGCGGACAAAGACCUCGCCGGAUCCCUGGAGUAUGGGCGCACUCAGAGCAGCCAUCUUGGGAGACGCUGCUGCGACAUCUAAAAUGGCUGGGUUGGCACCACGAUGACGUGAUGAGAUCUAUGAGCGUGUCUGCAAUCUGAACCAGACUGUG